GACGAACGCUGGCGGCGUGCCUAAUACAUGCAAGUUGAGCGCUGAAGGUUGGUACUUGUACCAACUGGAUGAGCAGCGAACGGGUGAGUAACGCGUGGGGAAUCUGCCUUUGAGCGGGGGACAACAUUUGGAAACGAAUGCUAAUACCGCAUAAAAACUUUAAACACAAGUUUUAAGUUUGAAAGAUGCAAUUGCAUCACUCAAAGAUGAUCCCGCGUUGUAUUAGCUAGUUGGUGAGGUAAAGGCUCACCAAGGCGAUGAUACAUAGCCGACCUGAGAGGGUGAUCGGCCAGAUUGGGACUGAGACACGGCCCAAACUCCUACGGGAGGCAGCAGUAGGGAAUCUUCGGCAAUGGACGAAAGUCUGACCGAGCAACGCCGCGUGAGUGAAGAAGGUUUUCGGAUCGUAAAACUCUGUUGGUAGAGAAGAACGCUGGUGAGAGUGGAAAGCUCAUCAAGUGACGGUAACUACCCAGAAAGGGACGGCUAACUACGUG
rnacentral:rRNA from 1 species